AUUGAACGCUGGCGGCAGGCCUAACACAUGCAAGUCGAGCGGUAGAGAGGUGCUUGCAUCUCUUGAGAGCGGCGGACGGGUGAGUAAUGCCUAGGAAUCUGCCUGGUGGUGGGGGAUAACGUUCGGAAACGGACGCUAAUACCGCAUACGUCCUACGGGAGAAAGCGGGGGAUCUUCGGACCUCGCGCCAUUAGAUGAGCCUAGGUCGGAUUAGCUAGUUGGUGAGGUAAUGGCUCACCAAGGCGACGAUCCGUAACUGGUCUGAGAGGAUGAUCAGUCACACUGGAACUGAGACACGGUCCAGACUCCUACGGGAGGCAGCAGUGGGGAAUAUUGGACAAUGGCGCAAGCCUGAUCCAGCCAUGCCGCGUGUGUGAAGAAGGUCUUCGGAUUGUAAAGCACUUUAAGUUUGGGAGGAAGGGUAGGUAACCUAAUACGUUGCUACUUUGACGUUACCGACAGAAUAAGCACCGGCUAACUUCGUGCCAGCACG
rnacentral:rRNA from 1 species